rnacentral:rRNA from 1 species
UGGAGAGCUUGCUUUCCAUGARAGUGGCGCACGGGCYGCGUAACACGUAUGUAACCUACCUUGUUCAGGGGGAUAGCCUCUCGAAAGAGAGAUUAAGACCGCAUAACAUUAUUGAAUGGCAUCGUUUAAUAAUCAAAUAUUUAUAGGAACAAGAUGGGCAUGCGGAACAUUAGCUAGUUGGUAAGGUAACGGCUUACCAAGGCUACGAUGUUUAGGGGAUCUGARAGGAUGACCCCCCACACUGGUACUGAGACACGGACCAGACUCCUACGGGAGGCAGCAGUAAGGAAUAUUGGUCAAUGGGCGGAAGCCUGAACCAGCCAUGCCGCGUGCAGGAAGACGGCCCUAUGGGUUGUAAACUGCUUUUAUACUGGAAUAAACCUUGAUUCGUGAAUCAAGCUGAAUGUACAGUAAGAAUAAGGAUCGGCUAACUCCGUGCCAGCAGCCGCGGUAAUACGGAGGAUCCAAGCGUUAUCCGGAUUUAUUGGGUUUAAAGGGUGCGUAGGUGGUUCUUUAAGUCAGGGGUGAAAGACGGCAGCUUAACUGUCGCAGUGCCUUUGAUACUGAAGAACUUGAAUGAACUAGAGGUAGGCGGAAUGUGACAAGUAGCGGUGAAAUGCAUAGAUAUGUCACAGAACACCAAUUGCGAANGCAGCUUACUAUGGUUUGAUUGACACUGANGCACGAAAGCGUGGGGAUCANACANGAUUAGAUACCCUGGUAGUCCACGCCCUNNACGAUGAAUACUCGAUGUUGGCGAUAUACNGUCAGCGUCUAANCNAAAGCGUUAAGUAUUNCNCCUGGGGAGUACNCCCGCANGGGNGAAACUCAAANGAAUUGAC